rnacentral:lncRNA from 1 species
UGGCUGCUCUCCCUGCGCUGACUUGGGUAGCUUUAAUGGUCUGGUGUGAGGGCAAGAGCACGGCCCCUACCUGCCUCCUCCUGUUCAGAGCUGUGCUGGGGCCUGAGCUAUGUUGUUGGGACCAUCUGAGCCACCUCUUAAUUUAACAGCUGGAUUGAUUCACUCCAGACCUCAUAGUCAUGUGCAAAGAGCCCAACCAAAACUCGUAAGGCAUUCUAGGUGGGAACCUAAGCUUGAUUUGCGUGUUAGGACAGUUUAAAGAUGACCAAUGAAGGUGGUUUGCUAAAAUACUGCUGAAGCCAAAUAAAAAAAAAAAAAAAAAAUUAAGGCUCCCCAUCAUUAGUCUUGACCCUUUGUAGCUUUUACCUUCUACACCAAAGCCACCUCAAAGAUUUGAGGGGGGGCUGAUGGAAAAUGAAAUAUUAAUUUUGCCUGGUCUUAAUAUCUAACAAAGAUGGUGCAAACACUAUUUGACAGUGUUGUUUUUGUAUCAAUAUGUAUGUGCAGUAAUGAAUGUAUUUAUUUCUCAGAUUCUGUAUGCACAGUUUUGCAAUGUAAUUCAGAAAGUUGCAAACACAAAGAUGUGUCCGCAGGGUCUUCUCUACAGGAUUUCAAAAAAAAAAAGAAAAAAUUAUUAAAAAAAAAAAGAAAAAAAAAAAAGAAUCUCAGAGACUCUCAGCAUAGCCAUAAACCAUAACCUGUGAAGACAAUACAAAGACUGGACUUUUGUAGCUUUGCAUAGAAGAGGAAUUUAUGUUUUGCUGUAUUUAAAUGUUUCAAUUUACAGUGUCACUCUUUUAAGAUUCCUGUUCUGGUUUUUUGUUUUUAUUUCCUCUCUCUCGUGUGUGUGGAAAGCAUUGUUUUCAAGCAGUGCAGGUUCAAAGUCUGGGUUAGCAGUAUUUUACCGUGUUGCUUCAGUUCUGAAAAGCAGGAGUGUGGGUCUUCACCAGGGAAACAUCCAGCGCACUCAGUGACACAAAACCAAUUCUGAGGUGAGUGCUGGCAAAAUCCAGGGAAGGUAAAAGUCAUCAGAGGAACAGCUGUGUGCUUCCGAUUGCAGCUUGUGACUGAGACCAGCCUCUUGUCCUGCCUGAAGGACAGGAUGUAGCUCCUUUACUCUCCCUCAUCCCUCACUCACUGUUUACUGUGGUAGCAAUAAGGAUCUCAGAAUUGGGGAGUUGAUGCCUUAGAUACCUAGAAGUAGUUUUGUGCCAAACCCAACAGCCUCUGUGCCAUCUUCUGAUGGGCCUUGCAAACUAUACUGAAGCAUCAGAUUCCCUGUAGCGUAACGUGCUUAGAGUCCCAGGGUCAAGCUGUACUUCACAAAGCCUCUUGUUCCAGCAGUAUUGGUGGAGUCAGCAGUUAUGGACCUCCUACAGCCUUAAAAAUUAGCAUGAAGAAAGGAUGUUUGUUGAUUUAUGGAUAUUUGACAAAUUCACAAACCUUUCCAAUCAGCUGUGCUGGAGUUAAGGGAAAAGCAAAUAGAAAACAGAGACAAAACCUCCCUACAUUUUUAAAUGGGUUUGGGAAGCUCUAGAUAGCAAACAUCUUGCUCUCCCCAGACAGCAGAAAUGCUCCUUGAGAUGGCAUGUUUGAAUUGAAUUGUAUUUGUUUAAGCAAGAGUUUAAAAUCUAAAGGAACUCUGAGCUGUAAUUCUGUAAUAAUUCAACAGACUUCUAGCAUUUUUUUUCUUAGUUUUUGUUUGAACUUAAUGAUUUGCUGAACAUCAGCAAAGCCGCUCCAUUUCUUGUAAAACCCCCUUUUUCCAUCAGCUUACCCUUGCACUCCAGAACUGACCAUGUUUUUGAAAAUUUGGUGGUUACUUUCAAUGGCUGAAAGUAGCUUGUUGCAAUGUUUGAAGUCCCAUGGUAUUUUAUUGUCCUGAUUUUAGUGCAGGGGACAAGCAGGCAAGCAGUAGCUGAUUCUCAGCCUCUUUCCACUCCUCGUAUUUUGCAUUUUUCAGAGUAGGAAAUCUCACUUUUGAUGAUUUCCCAUUAAACUCGCUUAAUUUGCUGCUUUCCUUGUAAAAGGAGAAGACCUGGAAUCCCUUGUGAGGCAGUUCCAGCUCUGCUGGAAGAAGGCUCUGAGCUGGACCUCCUGGUCAGGAAGGAUUCUUCCUUUCAGCCCUAGUUAAUUUCUGUGCCACAACAGAACUACUAUUUAUUCUGCUUUCCUUGUUUUAACCAACUGGGCUCAGAAACAUUGAAAUAUAAGUUUAGAGCUAGAAAUGCAUCUUUUGUUCAGCUGUCUCCUAUCACCAUCCUAUUCUUUCCUUCCUUCCCCAAUUUUAGUAAGUAUUUUGAAGCUCAGUGUUGAACACAUGGGGAUCAAUGGAUCAGUGUUUUUGAACAGAGCACCCCUGUGCGAUGCAGUAGGGAAGGUCUACACCAGAAUACUUCAUGCCUCAUUUCUUGGCAGUUAGGGGACACAAUUCCUAGCGCUCGUUUUCCCUGAGGAGUGGGAUGAUUUUAAACAUUCUCAUUCACAAGUUAUCAAUCGAAGCACCUCGCACAACUGUUCUCUAACUUUCACAGGAGUUUGGCUGGCUGGGGAUAACUUCUAUGAGGAGAGGAUCUUGUUCUGGCUGGCUGGAUAUUUUUUCCCCAUUUUAUUUGAAUACUUUAAGUACAACUGAAAAAGGGAUGUUGCAUCUCUCUUUGUUUUAUUUUAAUUUUAAGCCUUAACUAGCAGUCAGUCGAGGAGCCCUGGAUGUUUCCUGGGGAGGGGAAAGGAGGGAACGGCAAGGGAAAGGCCGACAUUCCUGCUGCAAUGUUCUGUUCAUUUCCUUCAAGAGCUUGAAUUCAGGUCAGAGCCACACAUAGUUUGUGGCUUCAACUCAAGUGUCAUAUAAAAAGAUACAGAAAUUAUAAUAUGAUCUCAGCAUUCAGAAAUUUGCAGUCUUAAUGUACAGUGAUGAGAAACUGUUAUUUUAUGAUCUUUUCAUUAAAAGCUUGAUUGAAAA